rnacentral:rRNA from 1 species
CUUCAUUGAGACUUCGGUGGAUUUGAUUUAUUUCUAGUGGCGGACGGGUGAGUAACGCGUGGGUAACCUGCCUUAUACAGGGGGAUAACAGUCAGAAAUGACUGCUAAUACCGCAUAAGCGCACAGGGCCGCAUGGCCCGGUGUGAAAAACUCCGGUGGUAUAAGAUGGACCCGCGUUGGAUUAGCUGGUUGGUGGGGUAACGGCCCACCAAGGCGACGAUCCAUAGCCGGCCUGAGAGGGUGAACGGCCACAUUGGGACUGAGACACGGCCCAGACUCCUACGGGAGGCAGCAGUGGGGAAUAUUGCACAAUGGGGGAAACCCUGAUGCAGCGACGCCGCGUGAAGGAAGAAGUAUCUCGGUAUGUAAACUUCUAUCAGCAGGGAAGAUAGUGACGGUACCUGACUAAGAAGCCCCGGCUAACUACGUGCCAGCAGCCGCGGUAAUACGUAGGGGGCAAGCGUUAUCCGGAUUUACUGGGUGUAAAGGGAGCGUAGACGGUGUGGCAAGUCUGAUGUGAAAGGCAUGGGCUCAACCUGUGGACUGCAUUGGAAACUGUCAUACUUGAGUGCCGGAGGGGUAAGCGGAAUUCCUAGUGUAGCGGUGAAAUGCGUAGAUAUUAGGAGGAACACCAGUGGC